GAUGAACGCUGACAGCAUGCUUAACACAUGCAAGUCGACUUGAAAUUGGGUUUUUAACUUAGGUUUGGGUGGCGGACGGGUGAGUAACGCGUAAAGAACUUGCCUCACAGCUAGGGACAACAUUUGGAAACGAAUGCUAAUACCUAAUAUUAUGAUAAUAGGGCAUCCUAUAAUUAUGAAAGCUAUCAGCGCUGUGAGAGAGCUUUGCGUCCCAUUAGCUAGUUGGAGAGGUAACGGCUCACCAAGGCGAUGAUGGGUAGCCGGCCUGAGAGGGUGAUCGGCCACAAGGGGACUGCGACACGGCCCUUACUCCUACGGGAGGCAGAGGUGGGAAAUAUUGGACAAUGGACCGAGAGUCUGAUCCAGCAAUUCUGUGUGCACGAUGAAGUUUUUCGGAAUGUAAAGUGCUUUCAGUUGGGAAGAAACAAAUGACGGUACUAACAGAAGAAGUGACGGCUAAAUACGUG
rnacentral:rRNA from 1 species